rnacentral:tRNA from 1 species
GCCAGCAUGGUGUAGUGGUUUGCAUGUUGGACUAGGAGUCUGGGAGACCAGGGUUCAAAUCCCUCCUCAGCCA